UUGGCAUUUAACAACAGAAUUACAAGUCUUUCAAAAAUAAUUACAGACUGGCCUCGAAUAAAUAUUCUAUUCACCAUGAGCAAAUGAUAUCCUCUCAAUUAGGCCAAGUAUCCUCUCAAUUAAAUCAAUCAAUUAAAAUUAUUUCAAAUACAAAAUUUAUUGUCUACUAAACACCCUUUGCUAAAAAUUAUUCUGUAAUAAGGCUAAAAUUCCAUUUAAGAAAGACAAAUAUCAAAAUAUAUAUCAAUGUUGAUUGCUUAUGUACUUUCAUAUAAGUGAUGUGGAGUCAUAAUUCAAAAUUCAAAAGAUUUGAAUCCAUCCUAUUCCUAUUCAUAUCCCUGACUAAAUUGAGACACAAAACAAAACAAAUAUUGUGAAAUUAAAAUGUAACAAACAUUAAUGUAGAGGUGUUGCAAGUAAAUAUAGUUUAGACUGUGAGAAUAGUUCAUGAUAAAAGAAACACUGAGAAAAAGCUGAACAGUUCUAAAGUGAAAACUCACCAAAUUAGUAGAACAAAUGAACAAAUGACACAAAAGGCAAUCCAAUUGAGAAUGCACAACUAUAGAAACAAUGGAAGAUUAUAAGAAAAAAUGUAUGUAGCAAAAGCAAAUCAUUACUAAAAUUGAAAAAGUCAGCUUAUGGCAUUAAAGGGCAUCAACAAUUUUCUAAUAAGUAUUGGACUUGCAGGAACUUACAACAAUAAUUAUGGUACUGAUAUUAACAAAACUUAUUCAACACAGUUUAACUAUAUUUCCAUCAUCCUUCAAACAUACUACAAUAAACUGCCUAAGUAUGUACAAAUAAUAUAUAUGAUUAGAUAAUUAAUUCUUUGAAAUGAAAGAACAGAAUCAUACUACAGGUAAUCCUAUUCAUUUUCCCCAUUUAACUAAGAAGCAAUCACUGGAAUAUUCAGGCAUAGCAACUGCAAACAGUAUAUAUAUAUAUAACACGGGAGUGAUCAUUUAAUAUAUCCAUAUGAUAACAUUGUGUUGUCAAAGGCAAAGAUGAAAUGAGGCAAUCAGUGAAACAUGAAAGAAUUAUAAAAAUGAAAACUUACCAAAUAAAGAGAACCAAAUGGACCAAUAUUUGUCAAAGUAAAGAAACUGUAAUGAAAACCUAUAGAAAAAAUGAAAAAGUAUGACACAAUUAUAUCUAUUAUAUUAUAAUAAUAUGGUUUGAAAUUGGAAGAAUUGAAAAUGAUGAUUCUAUCUGUACAGUUUACGUUGAAAGGUGGUAAUCAUUCCAAUUAUCUUCAUAUUUCAAUGAUGGAAUUUGUCAAGUAGUAGAAACAUAUUCCUAAUGUAGCAACACUAUCAUGCAAAUCAGCCAUACCAAUGUUAUGACUUUAAAAAAACUAAUUUAAUAUAUAGCAGUUGACUCCUUAUGUAUAAAAUGUUCAAACACUGGUAGCAAUUGAUAAUAAAUAUUUCAAGAGAAUGUAACAUAUUAUCUUCCUAUUAAUGCCCAUCAUUAAAAAAAACAAAACUGAACACAUUUUGUCAAAUUAAAAUGCCAGCCACAAGAAUAUACAGCUCUAGCAAGUUCAAAUGUACUGUGAGAGUAGUCAAUAAAUCUCUCCAUAUGAUAACAAUGUGUUGUCAAACAGUAAAACAUGAAAGAAUUAUUAAAUGAAAACUUACCAAAUAAACAGAAGAAAACCAACCAAUAUAAGUCAAAUUAAGGAAAUUGAAAUGGAAACCUAUAGAAAAAAGAAAGAGUAUGAGAGAAAUGUAUGUAUCAAUAAGUAAAUUACAGGUAACCUUAAUUAAAGAAUUACAGUUAGAGGACAUCAAUCAUUCACUUGUCAAAAUUAUAUUUCAAGCAACCUUACAACAUUAAAUAUAUAAUAUCAUGAUAACUUCCAAUAACUAAAAUUCAACAUGGUUUGAAAUUGGAAGAAUUGAAAAUGAUGAUUCUAUCUGUACAGUUUAUGUUGAAAGGUGGUAAUCAUUCCAAUUAUCUUCAUAUUUCAAUGAUGGAAUUUGUCAAGUAGUAGAAACAUAUUCCUAAUGUAGCAACACUAUCAUGCAAAUCAGCCAUGCCAAUGUUAUGACUUUAAAAGAACUAAUUUAAUAUAUAGCAGUUGACUCCUUAUGUAUAAAAUGUUCAAACACUGGUAGCAAUUGAUAAUAAAUAUUUCAAGAGAAUGUAACAUAUUAUCUUCCUAUUCAUGUCCAUCAUUAAAAAAAAAACUGAACACAUUUUGUCAAAUUAAAAUGCCAGCCACUAGAAUAUACAGCUGUA